rnacentral:rRNA from 1 species
AGCGGCGCACGGGUGAGUAACGCGUACACGACCUACCUUUGACUGGGGGAUAGCCCUGGGAAACUGGGAUUAAUACCGCAUAUAAUUCUGAUUAAUAAAGGAUUGGAAUGAAAGUUCAGGCGGUCAGAGAUGGGUGUGCGUCUGAUUAGCUAGUUGGUGAGGUAACGGCUCACCAAGGCGAUGAUCAGUAGGGGGCGUGAGAGCGUGGUCCCCCACACGGGUACUGAGACACGGACCCGACUCCUACGGGAGGCAGCAGUAAGGAAUAUUGGUCAAUGGGCGAAAGCCUGAACCAGCCAUCCAGCGUGCAGGAAGAAGGCCCUAUGGGUUGUAAACUGCUUUUGUCAGGGAAUAAACCUGUGGAUUUAUCCGCAGCUGAAGGUACCUGAAGAAUAAGCACCGGCUAACUCCGUGCCAGCAGCCGCGGUAAUACGGAGGGUGCGAGCGUUAUCCGGAAUUACUGGGUUUAAAGGGUGCGUAGGCGGCCAUGUAAGUCAGGAGUGAAAGUUUGCGGCUCAACCGUAAAAUUGCUUUUGAUACUGCAUGGCUGGAAUCAGGAUGAGGUCAGCGGAAUGUGGCAUGUAGCGGUGAAAUGCAUAGAUAUGCCAUAGAACACCAAUUGCGAAGGCAGCUGGCUAGACCUGUAUUGACGCUGAGGCACGAAAGCGUGGGGGAGCGAACAGGAUUAGAUACCCUGGUAGUCCACGCCCU